UACGGAGGGGGUUAGCGUUGUUCGGAAUUACUGGGCGUAAAGCGCACGUAGGCGGAUUAGAAAGUUAGAGGUGAAAUCCCGGGGCUCAACCCCGGAACUGCCUUUAAAACUACUAGUCUAGAGUUCGAGAGAGGUGAGUGGAAUUCCGAGUGUAGAGGUGAAAUUCGUAGAUAUUCGGAGGAACACCAGUGGCGAAGGCGGCUCACUGGCUCGAUACUGACGCUGAGGAGCGAAAGCUAGGGGAGCAAACAGG
rnacentral:rRNA from 1 species